rnacentral:rRNA from 1 species
GAUCAUGGCUCAGGACGAACGCUGGCGGCGCGCCUAACACAUGCAAGUCGAACGAGCGAGUGAGAGCUUGCUUUCUCGAGCGAGUGGCGAACGGGUGAGUAACGCGUGAGGAACCUGCCUCAAAGAGGGGGGACAACAGUUGGAAACGACUGCUAAUACCGCAUAAGCCCACGGUGCUGCAUGGCACAGAGGGAAAAGGAGCAAUCCGCUUUGAGAUGGCCUCGCGUCCG